UACGUAGGGAGCAAGCGUUGUUCGGAUUUACUGGGCGUAAAGGGCGCGUAGGUGGCCAACUAAGCCAGACGUGAAAUCCCUCAGCUUAACUGGGGAACUGCGUCUGGGACUGGAUGGCUUGAGUGCAGGAGAGGAACGCGGAAUUCCAGGUGUAGCGGUGAAAUGCGUAGAUAUCUGGAGGAACACCGGUGGCGAAGGCGGCGUUCUGGACUGCAACUGACACUGAGGAACGAAAGCCAGGGGAGCAAACGGG
rnacentral:rRNA from 1 species